rnacentral:lncRNA from 1 species
ACGAGUGAGUAAGAUAAAGGGUAUGCACUUGAUCGUUGAUCUAUAUAUAUUUAUAUAUAGGUAGCUAGUUAUCUGAGAGAAAAUUCCUUGGUGAAUGACUGAUGCGAUUCGGAGAAUGAAUCAAUGGAUUCACUUCCUCCUCCUCCUCAUCAAUUACCAUUCAGCCUCUGAAAACGGUAGAACUGUGUUUUUUUUUGUUGAGUUUGAGACUGACGGCUAGCUAGGGUCAGAGACUAAACGCCCUUUAUAUACACAUUUAUUUUGGCUACUUAGGCCACCCCAUUAAGUGAUAUUAAAUGUUAG